GAUCAUGGCUCAGGAUGAACGCUGGCGGCACGCCUAACACAUGCAAGUCGAACGGAGUUAUGGGAGCUUGCUCCUGUAAACUUAGUGGCGGACGGGUGAGUAACACGUGAGCAACCUGCCUUUCAGAGAGGGAUAGCUUCUGGAAACGGAUGGUAAUACCUCAUAACAUACGGAUUUGGCAUCUUAUCCGUAUCAAAGAUUUAUCGCUGAAAGAUGGGCUCGCGUCUGAUUAGCUGGUUGGUGAGGUAACGGCCCACCAAGGCAACGAUCAGUAGCCGGACUGAGAGGUUGAACGGCCACAUUGGGACUGAGACACGGCCCAGACUCCUACGGGAGGCAGCAGUGGGGAAUAUUGCACAAUGGGCGCAAGCCUGAAUGCAGCGAUGCCGCGUGAGGGAAGAAGGUUUUCGGAUUGUAAACCUCUGUCAUCGGGGACGAAAAUGACGGUACCCGAGAAGGAAGCUCCGGCUAACUACGUGCCAGCAGCUGC
rnacentral:rRNA from 1 species